rnacentral:tRNA from 1 species
UCUAAAAUGGCAGAAUGAUGCCCAAGAUUUAGGAUCUUGUUAUGGAUUCAUGUUUAUCCUUUUAGAA